rnacentral:rRNA from 1 species
CUUGGUGUCCAUGGAGCUUGGGAAACACCUGUUCCCAUCCCGAACACAGCAGUUAAGCCAAGCAUCGGUGACAAUACUGCAACUUAAGUUGUGGGAAGAUAGCACGACGCCAUUU